GUGGGGAAUAUUGGACAAUGGGCGAAAGCCUGAUCCAGCCAUGCCGCGUGUGUGAAGAAGGUCUUCGGAUUGUAAAGCACUUUAAGUUGGGAGGAAGGGCAGUAAGUUAAUACCUUGCUGUUUUGACGUUACCGACAGAAUAAGCACCGGCUAACUUCGUGCCAGCAGCCGCGGUAAUACGAAGGGUGCAAGUGUUAAUCGGAAUUACUGGGCGUAAAGCGCGCGUAGGUGGUUUUGUAAGUUGGAGGUGAAAUCCCCGGGCUCAACCUGGGAACUGCCUCCAAAACUGCAUGACUAGAGUACGGUAGAGGGUAGUGGAAUUUCCUGUGUAGCGGUGAAAUGCGUAGAUAUAGGAAGGAACACCAGUGGCGAAGGCGACUACCUGGACUGAUACUGACACUGAGGUGCGAAAGCGUGGGGAGCAAACAGGAUUAGAAACCCGAGUAGUCC
rnacentral:rRNA from 1 species